UAAAAUUCUAAAACCUUGAAGGACAAACUGCUUUUUGAGAUUCCUACAUUGCCUACAAGGGACCACAUACAACAAAGCCUACUAAGGCCAUUUCUCAUCUCUUUUUUCCAUUCAAGACUGAAAAGGAAAAUGAGACCCAGAAGAGUCUGUCCUGAAAAGGAAGCUUUGAAAUUCAUCGCAUCUGGGAAAGAUAAAGACAUAUUUCAGUCAAGAGUCAAGAGAAAGAUUGUUGAUGAACAGAAAAGAGCAGAUUUGUGUGCAUUUGUGACCACAAACAUAACUAAAGGAGAAGAAAUGAUGUUGGACUGCGGAGAUCCUGACUGCUCAUGGAGACAGGUAGCAGGAUGCUUGGUCCAUUACAGACGGAUGGACAACACCCUUAUCAGACUACUACACCCUCCACCCAGGAUCCACUUGGUCUGUCUCUACAUGUCAGAACGAGUAACUUCAGUCUUCAAUGUGAUGAAAGACUAUCUUAAGCAGAAUGAUGAGCAAAUCAGUGGAAGAGCAUCCUACUAUUGAGGAAAGCCUUCAGGAAGCCAAAACUAUGUGCAAAGACUUAUUGUAGAGUACAAUAAGCAUUAAAAUGAUUGGAUAUAAGUAUUAGUGUGAAUUUACAGGUUUGAUCACCAGUCUUAUCAAAUAUCAACCACAAACAGCUACAGCUCAGGAAAGACUUCAGCCUUCAGUCUCGGAUACAUCAGUAAAUCAAUAGUGCCAUUAAAUCAAAACGCAAGAGCCAGAAAGCCCUGGUCAGAAACAGAGAGGAAAGUCAUAGAACACUGUUUCAAGAUCUACUUGGAGGAAAUGAAGGCUCCUGGAAAAGUGGACUGUGAAAGAUGCAUAAAUGCAAACAGGAUUCUAAAGGAUAAUGGAAGAGACUGGAAAACAGUUAAAUACUUUGUGCUCAACAGAAUAAUUUCAGUUAAGAGAAGUUUGGGUGAACAGUGCUGAGCCCAUAAACCCUGAGAGCGUGUGAUGUGGAGUAUCAGUGUUGAGUCCUAACUGUGCCGUGAAAUCGACGGUCCAUGUACAUGAAGCAUCAGUGCGUCAUAGCAUUGAAAUGAUUGACUACAGCUGUUUUCAGCUGCUGUUUGGGACUCUGUUUUAGACCUGUUAUAACUUUGAUGUAAGCCACUGUAAUUUUGAACUAUUUAAUUUUUUUUUUAAAUAAACAAAUUUUAUUAUUUUCAUUUUGAUUUGUUGUUUUACUUUUCUUGGCAAUGUUGAUAAUAAAAAUGGAGCCCCUAAAUCAA